rnacentral:rRNA from 1 species
CCUACGGGAGGCUGCAGUGGGGAAUAUUGCGCAAUGGGCGAAAGCCUGACGCAGCGACGCCGCGUGAGGGAUGAAGGUCUUCGGAUCGUAAACCUCUGUCAGCAGGGAAGAACGGUCACUGUGCUAAUCAGCAGUGAAUUGACGGUACCUGCACAGGAAGCACCGGCUAACUCUGUGCCAGCAGCCGCGGUAAUACGUAGGGUGCGAGCGUUAAUCGGAAUUACUGGGCGUAAAGCGCUCGUAGGCGGUAUGUCAAGUCUAGGGUGAAAUCCCCGCGCUCAACGUGGGAACUGCCUUUGAAACUGGAAAACUGGAGUGUGGGAGAGGAUAGUGGAAUUCCAGGUGUAGGAGUGAAAUGCGUAGAUAUCUGGAGGAACAUCAGUGGCGAAGGCGACUAUCUGGCACAUAACUGACGCUGAGGAGCGAAAGCGUGGGUAGCAAACAGGAUUAGAUACCCGUGUAGUC